rnacentral:siRNA from 1 species
UGAGAAGUUGCAACCAUAAGUUGG